rnacentral:RNase_P_RNA from 7 species
AGAGCAGGAGAGGUGGUCGCCCCGCACUUCUGAAAAAAGUGCGGAGAGGAAAGUCCGAACUCUACAGGGCAAGGCGCUCCAUAAUACGGAGUGGGGGUAACCCCAAGGAAAGUGCCACAGAAAGGGAAACCGUCCCGCACUUUUUUCAGAAGUGCGGGGUAAGGGUGAAAAGGUGAGGUAAGAGCUCACCAGUUGAGAUGGCAACAUCUUAAGCUUGGAAAACCCCGCCUUGAGCAAGGUCGAAUAGGUUCCGCCUGGAGAAGGGCCCCUUCGAAUCCCCGUCCCGACUUUGUCGGGAUCGAGGAGGCGGAAUGGGUAGCGACCGCAAGAGUCUGGUGGCAACACCGGACCUUAGAUGAAUGACCACGCAAACAGAACUCGGCUUAUAGCCUGCUCUGACA